rnacentral:rRNA from 1 species
CUUAAAUGAAUUGACGGGACCGCACAAGCGGUGGAUGAUGUGGUUAAUUCGAUGCAACGCGAAAACCUUACCACCUUUGACAUGUACGGAAUCCUUUAGAGAUAGAGGAGUGCUCGAAAGAGAGCCGUAACACAGGUGCUGCAUGGCUGUCGUCAGCUCGUGUCGUGAGAUGUUGGGUUAAGUCCCGCAACGAGCGCAACCCUUGUCAUUAGUUGCUACAUUCAGUUGGGCACUCUAAUGAGACUGCCGGUGACAAACCGGAGGAAGGUGGGGAUGACGUCAAGUCCUCAUGGCCCUUAUAGGUGGGGCUACACACGUCAUACAAUGGAUGGUACAAAGGGUCGCCAACCCGCGAGGGGGAGCCAAUCCCAUAAAGCCAUUCGUAGUCCGGAUCGCAGUCUGCAACUCGACUGCGUGAAGUCGGAAUCGCUAGUAAUCGUGGAUCAGAAUGUCACGGUGAAUACGUUCCCGGGCCUU